rnacentral:rRNA from 1 species
GAUGAACGCUAGCGGCAGGCCUAACACGUGCAAGUCGAGGGAGAAGCCCUUUCGGGGGCAGAAACCGGCGCACGGGUGCGUAACGCGUAUGCAACCUACCUUUCACAGGGGGAUAGCCCGAAGAAAUUUGGAUUAAUACCCCAUCAUAUUAUUGGAUGGCAUCAUUUGAUAAUUAAAACUGCGGUGGUGAAAGAUGGGCAUGCGUCCUAUUAGCUAGUUGGAGUGGUAACGGCACCCCAAGGCUACGAUAGGUAGGGGUCCUGAGAGGGAGAUCCCCCACACUGGUACUGAGACAGGGACCAGACUCCUACGGGAGGCAGCAGUGAGGAAUAUUGGUCAAUGGUCGGAAGACUGAACCAGCCAUGCCGCGUGCAGGAAGAAUGCCUUAUGGGUUGUAAACUGCUUUUAUAUGGGAAGAAUAAGGCGUACGUGUACGUUGAUGACGGUACCAUAUGAAUAAGCAUCGGCUAACUCCGCG